GACGAACGCUGGCGGCGUGCCUAAAACAUGCAAGUCGAGCGAGCUUGCCUAGAUGAUUUUAGUGCUUGCACUAAAUGAAACUAGAUACAAGCGAGCGGCGGACGGGUGAGUAACACGUGGGUAACCUGCCCAAGAGACUGGGAUAACACCUGGAAACAGAUGCUAAUACCGGAUAACAACACUAGACGCAUGUCUAGAGUUUGAAAGAUGGUUCUGCUAUCACUCUUGGAUGGACCUGCGGUGCAUUAGCUAGUUGGUAAGGUAAUGGCUUACCAAGGCGAUGAUGCAUAGCCGAGUUGAGAGACUGAUCGGCCACAUUGGGACUGAGACACGGCCCAAACUCCUACGGGAGGCAGCAGUAGGGAAUCUUCCACAAUGGACGAAAGUCUGAUGGAGCAACGCCGCGUGAGUGAAGAAGGGUUUCGGCUCGUAAAGCUCUGUUGGUAGUGAAGAAAGAUAGAGGUAGUAACUGGCCUUUAUUUGACGGUAAUUACUUAGAAAGUCACGGCUAACUACGUGCCAGCAGCCGCGGUAAUACGUAGGUGGCAAGCGUUGUCCGGAUUUAUUGGGCGUAAAGCGAGUGCAGGCGGUUCAAUAAGUCUGAUGUGAAAGCCUUCGGCUCAACCGGAGAAUUGCAUCAGAAACUGUUGAACUUGAGUGCAGAAGAGGAGAGUGGAACUCCAUGUGUAGCGGUGGAAUGCGUAGAUAUAUGGAAGAACACCAGUGGCGAAGGCGGCUCUCUG
rnacentral:rRNA from 1 species